rnacentral:rRNA from 1 species
AUUGAACGCUGGCGGCAGGCUUAACACAUGCAAGUCGAGCGGGGGAGAUUGCUUCGGUAAUUGACCUAGCGGCGGACGGGUGAGUAAUACUUAGGAAUCUGCCUAUUAAUGGGGGACAACAUCUCGAAAGGGAUGCUAAUACCGCAUACGCCCUACGGGGGAAAGCAGGGGAUCACUUGUGACCUUGCGUUAAUAGAUGAGCCUAAGUCGGAUUAGCUAGUUGGUGGGGUAAAGGCCUACCAAGGCGACGAUCUGUAGCGGGUCUGAGAGGAUGAUCCGCCACACUGGGACUGAGACACGGCCCAGACUCCUACGGGAGGCAGCAGUGGGGAAUAUUGGACAAUGGGGGGAACCCUGAUCCAGCCAUGCCGCGUGUGUGAAGAAGGCCUUAUGGUUGUAAAGCACUUUAAGCGAGGAGGAGGCUCUCUUGGUUAAUACCCAAGAUGAGUGGACGUUACUCGCAGAAUAAGC